GACCCUGUGGAGGGGUAGCCAGGACUGU
rnacentral:sRNA from 1 species